rnacentral:lncRNA from 1 species
AUGUGUGGCAGCUACUACAGAAACUACAAUGGUGGCCAUGGCUAUGGGUGCUGUGGCUACGGAGGCCUGGGCUGUGGUUAUGGCGGCUGUGGCUAUGGGUGCUGUGGCUACGGAGGCCUGGGCUUUGGCUAUGGAGGCCUGGACUGUGGCUAUGGAGGCCUGGGCUGUGGCUAUGGCUCCUUCUGUGGCUGUGGCUACAGAGGCCUGGACUGUGGCUAUGGCUGUGGCUAUGGCUAUGUCUCCCACUCCUUCUGUGGCUGUGGCUAUAGGUGCGGCUCUGGCUAUGGCUCCAGCUUUGGCUACUACUA